rnacentral:misc_RNA from 1 species
GUAAUAUGGAUUUACAAUUUUAUGGAAUUAUGAAUUUAUAUGUUAUGUACUUUUGCAUUCAUUUUUAUGUAUUAUUGAUAUUUAUAAACAGGUUUUUUUGUAAACAGGUUUAGGAUUAUUAUUAAUAAAUUGUUGUUUAUUAGAUAUAAAUAGGUUCUUUUGUAAAAUUCCAAUAGUUUCGGUUUAACGCAACGGAACCGAACCGAACCUUUAUUUUUCGGUUUGGUUCAAUUCUGUUAUUCUUAAGUGAUCGGUUUGGUUUGGUCCACUUUUUUAAGCAAUUCGGUAUUUCGGUUUUCGGUGUUCAGUUCGGUUUGGAACUGAACCGAGUGAAUGCUCCCCCUGCAAUCAAGUAUCAAUUGGAUUACAGAAUGAACACAUUAUGUGUAUCAUGUUUCAUCAAAUUCUCAACCACUACAGACUAUAGUCUAGCAUUUGAACUUCAUUAAAGCUAAUUUCAGUAUACAACUAAAAACAAGGGCUGUUCACUUGCUGAAUUUAACUAACCAAUUCAACCCGAUCCAAACCACGUAUCCAUUUUAAUCCCAACUUCUGGUCAGGUUGGUUAAAAAUAUUUGAGACUUAACUCUCACUUUCUAAUCCCUAACUUCCUCUACAAUUUCACAGCCUCUAGGAAAACUUUGCCUUGCAUCGCCAGAUCUUUUCUUUCCUCCCUCUCUUCUCUUUAUCUCUGUUUUUGGUCUUCCAUAACUUCCAUAAACACCGUGCAUCAAAUAGUAAAGAAAUAUGGUGGUACUCAAGAGAGAGAGCGCGACCAAAAUCAUCAAAUUUGAUCAAAUGUCUACGAAUUUUGAUAUCAGAUAACGAAGCGGAAGAAUAUGCUGAAAAAAAUUGGAUAAAAUUACAAACCUCUUUUAAAAUUUUUAAAAAUUAGAUCAAUUUUAAAAAAAUUUGAAAAUAUGGUCAAUUUUAACAAGAUUUAAAUAUUUGGAUUAGAAAGAUUUGGCUUAUUUUUGUGAUUAGGCUCCUUUUUUAUCAUAUAAAAAUCUCAAUUCAUAUCAGGAAGUCAGCUAAAUAAUGGGUUGUACUUAUCUGCAAGUCAGCUAAAUGUUGGCUACAAACGGCCAUAUAAAAUUUUCACAAAUUUAUCCAACUAACGGACAACUAAUCCAACAAAUUCCUAAUGUCGGGUUGGUUCGGUUUGCUUUAGAAAUUUAUAGUAAUCAAUGUAAGUUGGAAAGGCAAUUACAAUCCAAACGGACUUAUGAAGAAGCCUGAGUAAAAACAGAAUGCUAAGAACACUUAUUCAAUCCUAGACUAGCACACAAACAAACAAUUGGAAAUUUCAAAAUCUCCAGCAUUUGUUUCAAAACCCAAAACCCACAAAAUAAAAAUGCUAAAACUAGAGAAAACAACGUCCGAUGUCAAAAAAGGAGCUGAAAAUGAUACCAAUUUAUAUUAGCAAACAAGACCAUACGACACGAACUUGAAAUUAGUGACAGAAAGCUAAAGACCCAGAAUACGAUAGCAGUAGAAUUAGGGAAAAAUGAAAUGAAGUAGAAAUACAGACCAUGAUGAGAGUAUAUAUAGGCGUGCCUCCAAGAGUAGAUGUGAUCCCCUGGCUUCAACUCAUCUCUUCCGAUCUUGUUUGAAAAAACUCCCAUUCUUCUUCUUCUUCUUCUUCUU